AGAGUUUGAUCAUGGCUCAGAGUGAACGCUGGCGGCGUGCUUAACACAUGCAAGUCGAACGAGAACGGAUAUUAGCUUGCUAAUAUUGUCAGCUAAGUGGCGCACGGGUGAGUAAUAUAUAGUUAAUCUGCCUUAGAGAUGGGAAUAAUUGAUGGAAACGUCUUGUAAGACCCGAUAUGCCUUUAAUACAUAAGUAUGCAAGGGAAACAUUUAUGGCUCUAAGAUGAGACUGUACGGUAUCAGAUAGUUGGUGAGGUAAUGGCUCACCGAGUCUAUGACGCCUAACUGGUUUGAGAGGAUGAUCAGUCACACUGGAACUGAGACACGGUCCAGACUCCUACGGGAGGCAGCAGUGGGAAUAUUGCACAAUGGACGAAAGUCUGAUGCAGCAACGCCGCGUGGAGGAUGACACAUUUCGGUGCGUAAACUCCUUUUAUAUGAGAAGAUAAUGACGGUAUCAUAUGAAUAAGCACCGGCUAACUUCGUGCCAGCAGCCGCGGUAAUACGAGGGGUGCAAGCGUUACUCGGAAUCACUGGGCGUAAAGAGAAUGUAGGCGGUUAAUUAAGUUGGAAGUGAAAUCCUAUGGCUCAACCAUAGAACUGCUUCCAAAACUGAUUAACUAGAGUAUGGGAGAGGUAGAUGGAAUUUCUGGUGUAGGGGUAAAAUCCGUAGAGAUCAGAAGGAAUACCGAUUGCGAAGGCGAUCUACUGGAACAUUACUGACGCUCAGAUUCGAAAGCGUGGGGAGCAAACAGGAUUAGAUACCCUGGUAGUCCACGCCCUAAACGAUGCACACUAGUUGUUGCUAUACUAGAUAUAGCAGUAAUGCAGUUAACACAUUAGGUGUGCCGCCUGGGGGAGUACGGUCGCAAGAUUAAAACUCAAAGGAAUAGACGGGGACCCG
rnacentral:rRNA from 1 species